UUAAAUAAUUUAUAUUUUCACUCAGACUACAAUCUUCAGACAGAGUUCGAGGGUGUCUUCGGCGGGCGCGGGCCCGGGGGCGUGAGCCCCCCGGCGGCCGUGAGGCGGGCCCGCCGAAGCAACAAGGUACGAUAGACACGGGUGGGAGGUUGGACCCAGAGGGCCCUCACUCGGUAAUGAUCCUUCCGCAGGUUCACCUACGGAAA
rnacentral:misc_RNA from 1 species